GUCAGUAUACGUACCGCUCUCUUGUCUUUCCAUUAGGAAUAGAUGGUGACGUAAAAUCUCACCAGAGUAACAAUUGGAGGGCAAGUCUGGUGCCAGCAGCCGCGGUAAUUCCAGCUCCAAUAGCGUAUAUUAAACUUGUUGCAGUUAAAAAGCUCGUAGUUGAAUUUCUGCGUUGCCCGACUCGGCUACUUGCCUUGUCUGGUUUCGCUUUUGGGGUUUUCCCCUUUUUACUUUGAGAAAAUUAGAGUGUUUCAAGCAGACUUGUGUCUUGAAUACUUCAGCAUGGAAUAAUAAAGUAGGACUUUGGUUCUAUUUUGUUGGUUUGUGAACCUUAGUAAUGGUUAAUAGGAACGGUUGGGGGCAUUCCGUAUUUAAA
rnacentral:rRNA from 1 species